GAUGAACGCUGGCGGAGUGCCUAACACAUGCAAGUCGAGCGGCAGCACGAGUAGUUUACUACUUGGUGGCGAGCGGCGGACGGCUGAGUAACGCGUGGGAACGUGCCCCAAAGUGAGGAAUAACUGCCCGAAAGGGUAGCUAAUGCCGCAUAUGAUCUUCGGAUUAAAGUAUUUAUUACGCUUUGGGAGCGGCCCGCGUCCGAUUAGGUAGUUGGUGAGGUAAAGGCUCACCAAGCCGACGAUCCCUAGCUGGUCUGAGAGGAUGAUCAGCCACACUGGAACUGAGACACGGUCCAGACUCCUACGGGAGGCAGCAGUGGGGAAUAUUGCACAAUGGGGGAAACCCUGAUGCAGCCAUGCCGCGUGUGUGAAGAAGGCCUUCGGGUUGUAAAGCACUUUCAGCGAGGAGGAAAGGUUGAUGCCUAAUACGUAUCAACUGUGACGUUACUCGCAGAAGAAGCACCGGCUAACUCCGUGCCAGCCGCCGCCGUAA
rnacentral:rRNA from 1 species